UACGGGGGGGGCAAGCGUUGUUCGGAAUUACUGGGCGUAAAGGGCUCGUAGGCGGCCAACUAAGUCAGACGUGAAAUCCCUCGGCUUAACCGGGGAACUGCGUCUGAUACUGGAUGGCUUGAAUCCGGGAGAGGGAUGCGGAAUUCCAGGUGUAGCGGUGAAAUGCGUAGAUAUCGAGAGGAACACCUGCGGCGAAGGCGGGUUGCUGGGCUGACACUGACGCUGAGGCGCGAAAGCUAGGGGGAGCGAACGGG
rnacentral:rRNA from 1 species